rnacentral:rRNA from 1 species
UGCAGUGUUAACACCUUCUACCCUGGGCUCAUGAGCUCAUCAGAUCUCAGAAAGUAAGCAAGGCAGGCCUGGCCAGUACCGGGACAGGAGACCUCCUAGGGAAAAAAGGUUGCUACUGCAA